AUCAGCGCUUGUCUUUUGGCGUACGUGGAAGAUGAUAGAGAAUGUUGUCGGCAGAUAGAUUGGCUUGAGUUGCUGAUGGCUAAGGCGUCCAUUGGGCCCCUAAGAUUUGUUUGUUGUUUGAAGCUUUUUGUUCUUUGUCAUCAUUGUUGGUGUCCUCUGCUUACGGUGGUGUUUUCUUCUUUUCCUUCUGCGCCAUAGCUUUUCACUGUCCAAUUGCGCAAUCAGCGCUGUGUCGUUGCGCGUCCUCACAAUUAUAGGAUCGGGCGUCUCUGUUGUUCGAUUUGAUGCGAACAACAGUGUUGACCAAUUCAAUCCGAACAAACUUACACAGCCUUCUUUUCUGCUCGACAAGAGAAGUUUAGACAUAUCAUGAGAGUAGGGCAUGGGAAACGGAGGAGGAAUCCAAAAGAGGAAUAAAAAAUAGCUUAUUUUUAUUCCCUUGUUUGAUGUCUCUGUUUGGUCCUCCAUGGUGCCCGGGAUGCUUCCGGGAAAGAGGAAGAGGGCUGUGCCCGUUGGACAAUAUGCAAAGCUCCUCUCCCCAGCAUGCAAUGGUGACUGGUGAGUGCCGUUGGGAUCACAGCACCACUGUGGAAGCGAAGCGUAGCAUGGCAUCAAACUGGGAUGGCCUGCUUCUGGUUCACUCACCACUGUGUGUGCUUUGCCGUCCGUGCACGCAUACCGAUCUGGGAAAGAGGAAGAGGGCUGUUCCCGUUGGACAAUAUGCAAAGCUCCUCUCCCCAGCAUGCAAUGGUGACUGGUGAGUGCCGUUGGGAUCACAGCACCACUGUGGAAGCGAAGCGUAGCAUGGCAUCAAAAUGGGAUGGCCUGCUUCUGGUUCACUCACCACUGUGUGUGCUUUGCCGUCCGUGCACGCAUACCGAUCUGGGCAUGAUUGAUCCAUUUGGCCAGAGACGUGCAAGCAACAGUCACACAUUGCGGGCUACGAUGCUUCUCGUCUUUUCGGAGAGAAACACAAGUCAUGCGAAAAAGAAGAGGGGAAAUGCAUGCAUAGAAUUCUUCAGUAUGCUUACACAUUAGGAUGAAUUCAUGAGAAAAAUUAUUAUUUUAUAUUUUUUUUAAUUUAAUAUCUUUAUUUAUUUAUUUUAUCAGUAUCUUAUUUUUUAUUUUAAAAUAUUUUUAACACGACAAAAUAUUGGAUCGAUGCCUCUUAUGAAUCGGUUCAGCUCCAAUAUUUUUAAAUAGAAUUAGAAUAUUUUUAUCAUAUAUAAAAUAUUAUGUGCUAUACAAAAAAUACUAUAUCUGAGGAACCAAAGUAUAAUAUAAAUUAACUUAUCAUCUUUAUGAAUUCUUAUUGAUUUGAAAAGAAAAACAUGUAAAAUAAAAAUUGAUCUUUCUGUAUAUUUAUUUUUGAUACCUUCAUAAAAACACUGAAAAUCUAUACUAAACUAGUUCUGAUUCAAUGUAGGGAGCAUUAGUCUUUGUAAUCUUAUGAGGGAUAAUUGGAGGAUGUAAAAAAAAAAUUGAAGCACUAAUAAAAAAAAUAAAAGAAGACACCGUUCAAGAAAAAUUCUAAAAUAAGAGAAUUUUCUCAGAAAUUCACCUUACGUGAUAUGACGUCCAGUGAUUUGCUACUUUAAUAUAUAGACACUGUAUUUAGUUUGCAUUGUUGAAUUAAAUAAGGAGAGAACGAAACAUGUCGCCAAAAUAAUUCCUACCAUCUUCGUCCUUGGGCAGGCACGAGGGAUGAGAAACUGAAGAAGGGAGCACCGCCGUCAAAUUCAUUCCUCAUGUCUCUUCGUGUUCAUGCAGGACCAGAAACCGGAAAGCAACAUAUAACAUCGCCCCUCGCUUUGGGGAUUGAUCUCCCUGUCCGCUAGUUCGGAGCCAUGAAACCUAUCUUUACUUACCACCGUUAACUUGCAUUGGAGUUUAUGCUAUUAAUCAAUCCACGUCACCACGUACUCG
rnacentral:lncRNA from 1 species